AGUGGGGAUUGGGGAGCCUCUGCCUGCCCAUCUCCCACUCAUCUCCUCCUCACUCCGUUUAUAUAAAUCUUAAUAAAACUGAAUAAUUGUGAAAUCUCUCGGGAAACGCAGCCGCAAUGCCCUGCUCACCCGACCCCCUCAGUAUCGCCUUCCUACCGGCCGACCAAACCCCGCCCAAGACCCCCCGUAGCUUUGCCCACGGUGCCGUUGGUCUCGGCAUCGUCGCCGCCAUGAGCACCGCCGCCGCCGACUUCAAGCUGAUCGCAGCACCGCCGCCGCGGUCGCGGUCGGAGCCGAUCCCGAUCAUGUCCCCCCGGCCGAGGGGGGCGGGUUGGAAGGACGCCGGCGAAGCGGACGAGGAGGAGGAGCUGUCGGAGAGUUACACGUGUGUCAUCUCCCACGUGGCCGGCUCAAAACGGGUGUACUUCGACGAUGGCUCCGAUGGAGUUAGAUAUAACUACGGAGCGAGUCCCGG
rnacentral:misc_RNA from 1 species